GACGAACGCUGGCGGCGUGCCUAAUACAUGCAAGUAGAACGCUGAAGGAGGAGCUUGCUUCUCUGGAUGAGUUGCGAACGGGUGAGUAACGCGUAGGUAACCUGCCUGGUAGCGGGGGAUAACUAUUGGAAACGAUAGCUAAUACCGCAUAACAGUAGAUAUCGCAUGAUAUCUACUUGAAAGGUUCAAUUGCAUCACUACCAGAUGGACCUGCGUUGUAUUAGCUAGUUGGUGAGGUAACGGCUCACCAAGGCGACGAUACAUAGCCGACCUGAGAGGGUGAUCGGCCACACUGGGACUGAGACACGGCCCAGACUCCUACGGGAGGCAGCAGUAGGGAAUCUUCGGCAAUGGACGGAAGUCUGACCGAGCAACGCCGCGUGAGUGAAGAAGGUUUUCGGAUCGUAAAGCUCGGUUGUAAGAGAAGAACGAGUGUGAGAGUGGAAAGUUCACACUGUGACGGUAUCUUACCAGAAAGGGACGGCUAACUACGUG
rnacentral:rRNA from 1 species